ensembl:antisense Gm43301 predicted gene 43301
GGAUUGAGCUGUCACUGCUAACCUGUGAACUGAACUGCCGAUUUCCAGACAACACAGAUAGGAGUUGCUCCAAAGAACCUUUCUAUAAGUAGAUUCACUUCUCCACCCUCCCACUCUGUAUCCUUUCUUUCUUUCCCACUACCUCUGGUGGGCUAUAGGCUAAAAGGGAAGCUAAAACAUUUAAGAACCAUCAUUAAAAAUAAGAUUUGAAAGACUUCUCCUCCCACUUUUAGGCUAAAAGGAGCCUGCUGCUACCACCACCGUCCUGGGUCUGUGAGCACUUGGGAAAAAGUGCUUCAAAGUGUUCUCAUUAAAGUAACUGCGGACAUACUUCAAAAAUAUUGCUGAAUUUUACAAGCCAGACUGAUCAAAGAGUAAUGAUCAGAAUCUGGGCUGGCCUAUUCCUGACACCUUGCAAGCCCACCGGGAACUACAAAACAAUUACUGGACUUUCAACCUCGUUCUGAACACUUACCUGAAAACAAGAAUCUGCCCCUACUCCAAUUUUUUUUUUUUUUUGCUUCAAUAUCCAGCAUGAAAAUUUUAUUCUGAGCAAUUAAGCUGGAAGGGUUUCACAAGACAGCUACACAAUAGGAAUGAACGUUCUGCUGCUCAGGACUAUGAAGAGCCAUGCAUAGUUUAAAGGAGAAAUGAGAAAUUCCACCAAGCUCUCAAGUUUCUUCUUACAAGUGGACCAGAAUGAGUACUGUCUGUUCUCAAAUCCCAUUAGUCCAACCCCCGUGCUAGUUUCCAUGUCUCAAUUAAAUCACAUCUUUGCC